rnacentral:rRNA from 1 species
GGGGGAUAUUGCACAAUGGAGGAAACUCUGAUGGAGCGACGCCGCGUGAGGGAAGAAGGCUUUCGGAUUGUAAACCUCUGUCUUCGGUGACGAAAAUGACGGUAGCCGAGGAGGACGCCAUGGCUAACUACGACCCAGCAGCCGCGGUAAUACGUAGGUGGCAAGCGUUGUCCGGAAUUACUGGGUGUAAAGGGAGCGUAGGCGGGAAGGCAAGUUGAUUGUUUAAACUAUGGGCUCAACCCAUAGUCGCGAUCAAAACUGUUUUUCUUGAGUGAAGUAGAGGUAAGCGGAAUUCCUAGUGUAGCGGUGAAAUGCGUAAAUAUUAGGAGGAACACCAGUGGCGAAGGCGGCUUACUGGGCUUUAACUGACGCUGAGGCUCGAAAGCGUGGGUAGCAAACAGG